CCCAGAAACACCCUCCUUUCAAAGGGAGCCCUGAGUCCUGAGCCUUUGCCUCCAAAAGGUCUGCAGUAUCUGGUGCUCUUGUCUCAUGCCCACAGCCGAGAGUGCAGCCUGGUGCCCGGGCUUCGGGGGCCUGGCGGCCAAGAUGGGGGGCUUGUGUGGGAGUGCUCAGCAGGCCAUACCUUCUCCUGGGGACCCUCUUUGAGCCCUACACCUUCAGAGGCACCCAAGCCAGCCUCCCUUCCACAUACUACUCGGAGAAGUUGGUGUUCCGAGGCCACGAGUGGGCAGGAGCUUGCAGAUUUGGAAUCUGAGCAUGAUGAGAGGACUCAAGAGGCCAGGUUGCCCAGGAGGGUGGGACCCCCACCAGAGACCUUCCCACCUCCAGGAGAGGAAGAGGGUGAGGAAGAAGAGGACAAUGAUGAGGAUGAAGAGGAGAUGCUCAGUGAUGCCAGCUUAUGGACCUACAGCUCCUCCCCAGAUGAUGAGCCUGAUGCCCCCAGACUACUCCCUUCCCCUGUCACCUGCACACCUAAAGAGGGGGAGACACCACCAGCCCCUGCAGCACUCUCCAGUCCUCUUGCUGUGCCGGCCUUGUCAGCAUCCUCAUUGAGUUCCAGAGCUCCUCCACCUGCAGAAGUCAGGGU
rnacentral:sRNA from 1 species